UACGUAGGGUGCAAGCGUUAAUCGGAAUUACUGGGCGUAAAGCGUGCGCAGGCGGUUUUGUAAGUCUGUCGUGAAAUCCCCGGGCUUAACCUGGGAAUUGCGAUGGAGACUGGCACGCUCGAGUUCGGGAGAGGAUGGUGGAAUUCCCAGUGUAGAGGUGAAAUUCGUAGAUAUUGGGAAGAACACCGAUGGCGAAGGCAGCCAUCUGGACCGACACUGACGCUGAGGCGCGAAAGCGUGGGGAGCAAACAGG
rnacentral:rRNA from 1 species